rnacentral:tRNA from 1 species
GUCCCCAUCGUCUAGUCUGGUCCAGGACACCGGCCUUUCACGCCGGCGACGCCGGUUCAAAUCCGGCUGGGGACGCUA